CAAUAGCGUAUAUUAAAGUUGUUGCAGUUAAAAAGCUCGUAGUUGGAUUUCUGGUAUGCUGCGCCUGGCCCGCCUCGUUUAGAGUGUGAGUGCCGGUGCGCGGUUACCAUCCUUCUAGAAAACGCGUCUGCCCUUCAUUGGGUUGGGCGCGCAAUCUAGAUCUUUUACUUUGAAAAAUUAGAGUGUUUAAAGCAGGCAAUUGUCUUUGAAUAGAUUAGCAUGGAAUAAUAAUUUAGGACUUCGGUUCUAUUUUGUUGGUUUCUAGUACUGAAGUAAUGAUUGAUAGGGAUAGUUGGGGGUGCUCGUAUUCAGCGGCCAGAGGUGAAAUUCUUGGAUUCGCUGAAGACGAACUUAUGCGAAAGCAUUCACCAAGGAUGUCUUCUUUAAUCAAGAACGAAAGUUGGGGGAUCGAAGACGAUCAGAUACCAU
rnacentral:rRNA from 1 species